rnacentral:rRNA from 1 species
UACGAAGGGGGCUAGCGUUGUUCGGAAUUACUGGGCGUAAAGCGCACGCAGGCGGUCUGAUUAGUCAGAAGUGAAAGCCCCGGGCUCAACCUGGGAAUUGCUUUUGAUACUGUCAGGCUAGAAUCACGGAGAGGGUAGUGGAAUUCCGAGUGUAGAGGUGAAAUUCGUAGAUAUUCGGAAGAACACCAGUGGCGAAGGCGACUACCUGGCCGUCGAUUGACGCUCAUGUGCGAAAGCGUGGGGAGCAAACAGGAUUAGAUACCCUGGUAGUCCACGCCGUAAACGAUGAGUGCUAGUUGUUGGGGUGCUUGCACCUCAGUGACGCAGCUAACGCGUUAAGCACUCCGCCUGGGGAGUACGGCCGCAAGGUUAAA